UACGUAGGGUGCAAGCGUUGUCCGGAAUUAUUGGGCGUAAAGAGCUUGUAGGCGGUUUGUCGCGUCUGCUGUGAAAUUUCGGGGCUCAACCCCGAACUUGCAGUGGGUACGGGCAGACUAGAGUGUGGUAGGGGAGACUGGAAUUCCUGGUGUAGCGGUGAAAUGCGCAGAUAUCGGGAGGAAUACCAGUGGCGAAGGCGGCUUACUGGCUCAUUCCUGACGCUGAGGAGCGAAAGCGUGGGGAGCAAACGGG
rnacentral:rRNA from 1 species